CCCUUAGAUGUUCUGGGCCGCACGCGCGCUACACUGACGAAUGCAACGAGCUUAUAACCUUGGCCGAAAGGUCUGGGUAAUCUCCAAAUUUCGUCGUGAUGGGGAUAGAUUAUUGCAAUUAUUAAUCGUCAACGAGGAAUGCCUAGUAAGCGCAAGUCAUCAGCUUGCGUUGAUUACGUCCCUGCCCUUUGUACACACCGCCCGUCGCUCCUACCGAUUGAAUGGUCCGGUGAAGCGUUCGGACCGUGGCCUUUGGACGGUUCGCCGUCUGUUGGCUGCGGGAAGUUCGUUAAACCUUAUCAUUUAGAGGAAGGAGAANUCGUANCA
rnacentral:rRNA from 1 species